rnacentral:lncRNA from 10 species
CAGCCUUCUUAAUCAGGUCCUGCUACGUAUGACAAUGACUAAGCUCCAAGUACAACACACAAAACUGGUUUGAGAAUUUUGAAACACUCACAAUACAGCUUCGGUAGCAUCAGUGGAGGAAAGGCUGGACCCUGUAUUUGUGUUGUGUACCCUCACUCUAGGAGGUGUCUUCACACUAAGAGAUGGCCACUCAGCUUCUGGCAUUAUCACUCUGCAUCUACUUUGCCAAGCUUCUUCUUUUGAAACGUCUUGUGUAGGCAGUAGUUAUGAAUAUGCCACCCAGAAGAAUACCAGAUGAAUAAACUUACAAAUAUUUUGAAUAAAGCUCAAUCUAACAAUAGAUAUUUGAAUGAAAAUACUGGAAUCUCUUGUAAUAGCUCAGAAGGUAGCUUAAGUUUUAGCACAGGUGGUAGGAUCACAACACCUUGACCAGGACAGUCCACCUCUGAGCCUCGUCUACUAUGUGGUUUCUGAGUUCUGAAGCUCAGAAUGUUACAUAUAUGGGAAGUAGAAUAUAAUAAUCUAUGUAAUUUCUCUGGAUUCCAUUCCCAGUUAUCACAUGCCCCAAGAUUCCCAAUAAAUCAGAAAACCUCACAUUUGCAUUUUAGUAUUUCCAAAGGUUUUUUAUUUUUAUUUAGAGACUGGGUUUCACUGUUGCCUAGGCCAGAGUGCAGGGGCUAUUCACAGGUGCGAUCAUAGCACCCCACAGCCUUGAAUACCUGGGCUCAAGCAAUCCUCUUGCCUCAGCCUCCCAAGCAGCUGGGACUACAGGCACCCAGCUUCCAAGGCUGUUUUUAUUUUUAUUUUUUAAAGUUAUGUAUAGAUAGGAAAUCAAACACUUAGGAGUGAGCCCUCUCAACUCUUACUCCUCUCACAUUUCCCUCUCAGUCUAUACAUAAUCAGAAACCUGGGAGACCCUUGAUGUUGUCAAGUAAACAUUUCAGGUGUGAUAAAAAAGGAUAUAGGCGCCUAAAUUU